rnacentral:rRNA from 1 species
AGAGUUUGAUCAUGGCUCAGAAUGAACGCUGGCGGCGUGCCUUACACAUGCAAGUCGGAUGUGUCGCAAGACACAUGGCAGACGGGUGAGUAACACGUGGGAAACUUACCUCUUAGUGGGGAAUAACGCUCCGAAAGGAGCGGUAAUACCGCAUGAGACCUAUCGCUGGGAUGCGAUAGAUGAAAGCUGGGGAUCGUAAGACCUAGCGCUGAGAGAGAGUCCUGCGUCUGAUUAGUUAGUUGGUGAGGUAACGGCUCACCAAGACUUCGAUCAGUAGCCGGCCUGAGAGGGCGAUCGGCCACACUGGAACUGAGACACGGUCCAGACUCCUACGGGAGGCAGCAGUGGGGAAUCUUGCGCAAUGGGCGAAAGCCUGACGCAGCAACGCCGCGUGGGUGAUGAAGGUCUUCGGAUUGUAAAACCCUGUCGUUAGGGACGAAGGUAUGAAUCCUAAUACGGUUCAUGCUUGACGGUACCUAGAAAGGAAGCCCCGGCUAACUCUGUGCCAGCAGCCGCGGUAAUACAGAGGUCCCGAGCGUUGUUCGGAUUCACUGGGCGUAAAGGGUGCGUAGGUGGUUGGUUAAGUUUGAGGUGAAAGCUCCGAGCUCAACUCGGAAAAUGCCUUGAAGACUAUCUGACUAGAGGAUUGGAGGGGAGAUUGGAAUUCUCGGUGUAGCAGUGAAAUGCGUAGAUAUCGAGAGGAACACCAGUGGCGAAGGCGAAUCUCUGGACAAUUCCUGACACUGAGGCACGAAAGCCAAGGGAGCAAACGGGAUUAGAUACCCCGGUAGUCUUGGCUGUAAACGGUGCGCACUUGCUGUGAGCGGAUUCGACCCCGCUCGUGGCGUAGUUAACACGAUAAGUGCGCCGCCUGGGAAGUACGGUCGCAAGAUUAAAACUCAAAGAAAUUGACGGGGGCCUGCACAAGCGGUGGAGUAUGUGGCUUAAUUCGAUGCAACGCGAAGAACCUUACCUAGCCUUGACAUGCAAAUAGUAGGAGCCUGAAAGGGUGACGAGGUAGCAAUACCAGUUUGCACAGGUGCUGCAUGGCUGUCGUCAGCUCGUGUCGUGAGAUGUUGGGUUAAGUCCCGCAACGAGCGCAACCCCUACGUCCCGUUGCCACCCAUUCGAAAGAGUGGAGCACUCUGGACGGACUGCCUCGCUUCAACGGGGAGGAAGGUGGGGAUGACGUCAAGUCAGUAUGGCCCUUACGGCUAGGGCUGCACACGUACUACAAUGCCCGAUACAAAGGGGCGCAAACCGGCGACGGGGAGCAAAUCCUAAAAAUCGGGCCCAGUUCAGAUUGCUGUCUGCAACUCGACAGCAUGAAGCCGGAAUCGCUAGUAAUGGCGCAUCAGCUACGGCGCCGUGAAUACGUUCCCAGGCCUUGUACACACCGCCCGUCACAUCAUGAAAGCCGUCUGUACCCAAAAUCGCUGAGCCAACCGCAAGGAAGCAUGCGCCUAAGGUAUGGAUGGUGAUUGGGAUGAAGUCGUAACAAGGUA